ACGAGGAGCUUGCUCCUCUGACGUUAGCGGCGGACGGGUGAGUAACACGUGGAUAACCUACCUAUAAGACUGGGAUAACUUCGGGAAACCGGAGCUAAUACCGGAUAAUAUAUUGAACCGCAUGGUUCAAUAGUGAAAGACGGUUUUGCUGUCACUUAUAGAUGGAUCCGCGCCGCAUUAGCUAGUUGGUAAGGUAACGGCUUACCAAGGCAACGAUGCGUAGCCGACCUGAGAGGGUGAUCGGCCACACUGGAACUGAGACACGGUCCAGACUCCUACGGGAGGCAGCAGUAGGGAAUCUUCCGCAAUGGGCGAAAGCCUGACGGAGCAACGCCGCGUGAGUGAUGAAGGUCUUCGGAUCGUAAAACUCUGUUAUUAGGGAAGAACAAAUGUGUAAGUAACUAUGCACGUCUUGACGGUACCUAAUCAGAAAGCCACGGCUAACUACGUGCCAGCAGCCGCGGUAAUACGUAGGUGGCAAGCGUUAUCCGGAAUUAUUGGGCGUAAAGCGCGCGUAGGCGGUUUUUUAAGUCUGAUGUGAAAGCCCACGGCUCAACCGUGGAGGGUCAUUGGAAACUGGAAAACUUGAGUGCAGAAGAGGAAAGUGGAAUUCCAUGUGUAGCGGUGAAAUGCGCAGAGAUAUGGAGGAACACCAGUGGCGAAGGCGACUUUCUGGUCUGUAACUGACGCUGAUGUGCGAAAGCGUGGGGAUCA
rnacentral:rRNA from 1 species